UAACAAUAGAACAGCAGUUGUUAUCAAUCCACCAAAAACUGGACAGUUGGUAGCAGUAACACAACAAGUUUUGAGUGCACGUGCACUCAUCCUGCCUCAUCAUCUCUAUUCCUUUUCCCAGUCCAACUCGACUCAACAUAAUCCCUCUCAGACUAUUUUUCCCCACUAUCCUUUUUUCUGUCUCUAGUUUCAAAUUCACACUG
ensembl:ncRNA T05A10.8 ncRNA